AUAAAUUUAAAAUAAAGUUGUUAGCGUUACAAAUUUAUAGUCAAAGAAGUAAAGACAAUAUCCAUGCUUCUCUCUAUAAACAUUUUUUUCCUCUUUAAACAUAUUUUCAUCUUUCAUUUACAUUUUUGAAAUUUUUUGUUCUUAUAAUUUAAUUAUUUUAGGGAAAAAAAUUGGUUUCAGCACUAUUGUUUAAGCCAACUGAAGUUGCAAAAUGACUACUUCAGAAAGAUGGGUCAAAGAUUUUACAAUUUUGAAGAAACCAGAUAAAGAAAAACAUGUAUACUUAGCAAAAUAUCUUCAACAUUGAUCAAACUUUUUUAUUUUGUGUAUGUGGUCACACUAGUUUUUAAGAUUUGUUUCUCUGUGGGUAGGGGAAGGUGGGGGUAAAGAGCAAGAAAUGGGGACUGUGUUCAGUGGAGUUCUCCAAAGGAUAUGGGAAAUGAACUAAUUUUGGAGAGAAGACAAAUUAUUUGGUCUUCACGAUUAAUGCAUUUCAGAUAUCAUUUAUUUUAUAAUUAAGUUUUCCUUAUGAAGUGCCUUUAGUUUUGAUAUUAAAUACUACAAAUGAUACUCUGUAGCUUUAAUUUUAUUACUACUUGAUCAUGAUAUCUGUUGAUGUUAAGAACUCGUCAACUAAGUUAGAUUAAGGAUUUUGUGAGUUAUAAAGGAAUUCUAACUCAAACUUUCUGAUAUUUUCAAGAACUUAAAACGUGAAUGUUAGAAUGAAAAAUAGAGAGAAUGUAGAAAAUAUGUGUAUUGCUUAAAAAUGGUUGAGUACAAAGCUCAAAAAUUCGACCUCCUCAAAUGAAGGGAGGUCAUAUUUAUAGGAGAGCACUAUUGGCUCAGUGUACAUGGUGGUCGCGGGGAGGCAUGGCCCUGCACAUGCAAACUACAGGUGGUAGUGGUGUUGAGAAAGUGGUGGUCGGCUCUAGUACAUGCUAGGGGUUUGCGGGAGCGCCUCAACUUUCGUACCAGGUUGUAUCUCCACCAUCUGUCUAGCAUAAACGUCAGAGGUUGGCUGGGAGGGACCACGUCAGGUACCUUACUCGUAUUACUACUACUUGUCUUGCGUGGACAUUAGGAACAGACACCUAGGGUAUUCAGGGUCGUACCUCUGUACUCGUACAUGUAUUUCGUACCUAGGGUUGACAAUGUCCACUUCUUGUCUGGCGUGGACAUUGUGUUCAUACCCUAACUCCUCUUGGCUUGUUUGCGCAUUCCGUACAUGUACGAGCUCUUCGAGCCAUGUGUAGGUUUUCAUCCUCACAAGGCACCCUAUUCCUACGAGCUUCAAGUAUUGAAGUCCUUAUAUGUCAUCAUGGAGGACACAGUCCCAAGAUGUCUGGGAGGCAAGAACCUCGCGAGAUGCCUGGCACGAGGCAUAGCACAUGGGUGGCCUCGUGAGAUGCUUGGCGUGAGGCAGAGCACAUGGGUGGCCUUGCGAGAUGCCUGGCGCGAGGCGGAGGUCCGUGGGCGAGGAUAUGCCUCGCAAGACGCCUAGCGCAAGGUGGAGGUCCGUGGGCGAGGCUGUGCCCGCAAGAUUCUUGGCGCGAGGCGAAGGUCCAUGGGCGAGGUUGUGCCUCGUGAGAUGCUUGGCGCGAGGGGGAGGUUGUCCCUCGCGAGACGCCUGGCGCGAAGCGGUAGUCCGUGGGCAAGGUUGUGCCUCGCGAGAUGCCUGGCACGAGGCAGAGGUCCAUUGGCGUGAGGUGCGCCCUCAUGGGCAAGCCGUGCUCCCUCGCGGGAUCCUCUACACGAGGUGUGACACCAGGUACGAGGGGUCACCUCGGCGCAGGGCCAGGUUUUGUUGUUUCCAUCCCGAGUAAUACCCUGAGAGACACAAGGUGGGAGGCCUUUUGUAAUUCUGAAGUUUUAGCAUCCACAAUAUAAUUAAUUUGGUACUUGCUUUCAUUGAUUGUUCUGGUUAAAAGUUGAAAUUGUGCAGUUUUUAGUUUAAUCUGAUCCUUUUAAGUCAUAGGGUGGCUUGGUUUUUAGCUGGAGUCAUUUAUGGAUCUUGAACUUCAUAAUAAUGACCAGUAUGAGAAUGAGAUAAAAGAGCAAGAAGGUUUGAUGAGUUAUCAGUCUUUCUUUCCAAAAGAUCAAUUAACUAAAUUCUUGGUAUUAUUUUCUUGAAAUUAUUUGCUUCUUGGACAUUUAUGUUCCCUACUUAUACAUGCUUUAUAUUUUUCAAGUAAUGUGAUGCUUACACUACAAAUUUUUGUUUGGUUGUUUCUUCUAAGGGUCAAUAUCUAUUUGUGUUUGAGUUUGGAAUGUGUUAAAGGGAUUGUCAAUAUCUUUCAUAAUAUUGUAAAAUGGUACUAAUUCAUAACUAGAAGAGAUCCUUCGCCAGCAAAGGUUUUUUUCUUGAAUUAAUUGUUGGUUAAUCAAACUCCAAAAUUUAGUCUGUUGUUUUUUUUCUCUUUUUUUUUUGGUAGUGGCUUCGAACAUAGAGCACGCCUGGUUAAAGUAACUUAGUUUAUUGUGGUGUUCUGCUUUUAUUUCUCUUUUUUGAGUUUCUUUUGGCUUGCUCGGGUUGAAGUUGAAGUCCUCCAAUUUACAGUUGUUGUUUCCUUAUAAGUUGGCAUAUAUAAUAAUAAUAAAUAUAGGGAAUAUCUAGUUAUGCUAGAGAGUAUCAAGAAGAAAUAAAGUCUCUUGUUUCAAAGGGAUGUUGUACUUUGAGAAUAGCAUAAGUUAAUAAGUAUUUUUUUCUUUUGCCAUAAAUUUUCAACAAAGGGAAAAAUAUUAAUAAAUAACAAGAUUAGGCUCUUAUGUCUAUAUCUAUAUAUUAUUAUCAUUGUUAUUGUAUUAUUGACAUAGAAAUAUAUGAUUCUAGUUCAUACAAGCAUGUUUAUAUAUAGUAUAAAACUUUUUCUUAACUUUGUCUAAAUUUCCCAACAAAUAGGACUUAGUCUAAAUACAUGGUGAUGCUCUUUAUUUAAUCUCUAAAACUAGUUAAGACUAAUGAAUUGACACAACCAUUUAUGCUCUUUAUUACUUCUUUUUUAGUAAGACUAAUCAUAUGUUUUCCUUGCACACAUAAUAUGAGUAUCAUAUUUAGAUUCUAGGGCAUUGGAUCUUAAAUUUAUAUAUUACAUCAUGCAGCUAAGUUUAUAUGCACACAAGCAUAUGUAGUGCUCUUUAUUACUUCUUACAUUAUGUUAUUAUAUUUAUAUGCACACAACCAUAUGUUUAUGAUUAUAUAGAUAUAUAAACAUCUUUGACCAUAAAUUUCAUGAGCUAACAAAGUGCAUACAUGAGACCUAUCAAGUAACUCUGCACUAUUAUCACAAAAAUCAAGUUCCCUCUUUUAUAUGGUCUCUUUCGUUAUUUUGGUUCCCUCUUGAGAAAAUUAGUUUUUGCUUAUUUAAUUUCUUUUAAAGUAGGAUACAGGUAGAACACAAAAAAAAUAUUUUAUGGUUAUAUCAGUGUGCUGCUAUUGUCUCUGCCAUGUUUGACUUUGAUUUCAUUUUGGUGUUUAUACAUGUAAUGUAAGUACACUAAUAUGUGAGUACCGAAAUGCUUAAGUAAGAGUUUCUUUUUUGUUUAGAUAUAAAUGAUACUAUGAAAAAUAAAAUUGAUUGUUUACUCAAGAGUAUUGAAACUUGUAUUUUUGUGAUGUCAUUUAUCCAUUUUCUCACAAAAUAUUUGAUAUUUAUUUAUGUAUAAUCUUUGCUGGUUUACUCAUUCCCCUUAAGCAUUUCAGAAAUUGAGUUGUGUUUUAGUUUUUUGUAUUUGCUUACAAACUAGAGAAUUAAAUUGUGUCGAUAUAUAUGACAUUUCUUUGUAGAUUUGAAAAUUGUUGUAUUUAUAAAAGUUUUUAUAUUAACAUGCUUACAUAACAGGGGCAGAGUGGCAGCGGGGUCAUGGGUCUGGGGUUUUCGGCAAGUUGGAGUGGCAGCAACCUUAGACCCAUGUGUCUCUGUCUCUCUCUCAGAUCUGGUUCACGGUGGUGCUUGGUGUUCGCGGUGGUUUGAGCUCUUGGGGCAGGGACUUUUGGAGCUUGUGGUCAGAUUUGGUUUUGUAUUUUGUUUACAUUUAAUUUUGUGUUUAUAUUGUAUAUAAAUUUUGGGGCAGGGGAUUUUGGUGCUUGAGUGCUUGCUAAGCUUGUUGUAUUACUAAAACCCACCAGAGAAUUGAGUGUUUAAAAUUGGGGCUGAUGGGGUUUCCGCAUUGGAGGCUUUUGCAAUGUGCAUGGAGGUUUGUGUUUUAGUUUCUAUGUAUGUUCAUGAUUGAUCAUUGGCUUUUCUGAGUUUGACAAAUUAGAGUUUCUUAUUAUUUGGGUUCAAUGUUUUUUUUAAUUGGUCAUUUUGAACUUGCCUUUCUUUCUGCCAAGAUCCACUUAGCUUAAGUAGCUUUAUGUUGUUUUAUGCUUUAUAUUUAUUCGUGAUUAAAUUCUAGAGCAUGUAACUAAUGAGUUAAGAAUAUUCUUAAAUUUAAUCUUCCAACUGUCAAUGUAAGUAAAUUUAGCUUAGGAUUUUACUUGAUAAGAUGAGUGAAAAAUCUAGUAAGAUAUUGUUGGUAAUUGUCACAUCCACGAUAACUCAUGUAACCAUAAGCUCAUCUUAUCAACAUAUCUUUACUUGACGGACUAAUGAAUAAAUAAUUUUUUUGUUGUCAUUUUGUGUAUUUCUAUCCUGUUUGUUUACUAACUAUUUGAUAAAAUGUUAGUGUUACUUCUGUUUGGUCAUUUACUGUUUGAUAAAAUGCUUCAAUUUAAAUAUGAUUGUUUGAAUAGAUAAUAUAAUUUUGUGAUUUCUUAUAUUCAUGAUUUUAGAUUACUACUUGAGACCUCUUUGAUUUGAUUAACUUUUUCUCAUUAAUAUUGCAUUUCAAAUCCUUAAACUUGUUCUUGGAUAAUGAAUUACAAGAUAUAUAUAUAUAUAUAUAUAUAUAGACCCAUUAUAGAGGAUGUGACCGUGUAUAUUGCAUGCUCUGUUUAAUUUAUUUAAUGUUUCUUUUAUUUUUUUUCUUUCCAGCUAAGGAAAGUGAUAUUAUUCCUAAAAGAAGUAUAAUAAUUGCGAGUUAUUUAUAUAUUCCAUAUUUGUUAUAUAUGUAUAUAUUUUAGUUCAAGAACCGCUCAAGUUCACUAGCGUACAAACAAUGGCUGACUACUUCACUUCACCUUAGGUAUUUUUUUCUACUUCUUUUGAUCCUUUUGGAUUAGGGAUAUUAGAGAAGCCAUAUAUUUAUUUAUAUGAUCAACUUAGUUGAAUGAAACUCGCUCAUCUAUAUUUAUAUGUUUUACCUAGGUUAUGCUUGAUUUUCCUAUGCAUAAGAGUCACACUUUUAUUCUAUAUUUUAUUAAGAGAUUAAUUAUAACUUCUUCUAUUCAUUCUCUCUGUUUUUCAUCUGUCUCUAUGUUUGAUAAGAGUGUUUUAGCUAGAAAUAUUAUUGAAAUAUCUUUUUCUUGUAGUGCUAAAAUGUGAGUAGAGUUGUAAGUGUUUUCUUGAAAUUCUUAGACAUGUGACGAAAUAUUUUAUCUUGUUGAUCCAAAUGAAUUUUACUACUAGUGCAGUUUAUAUAAUUGGUUUUGGUAGUUGUUGUUUCUCCUUUUAUAAUGACCAAUAAAGCUCUUAUUCUCAUGGUUAAUAUUGAUAGAAGUUAUAAGAUUCACGUUUAGGAAUGAUAUAUAUAUAUAUAUAUAUAACUCAAAAGGCUUGUUCAACCAUACGGGAUUGAAAGAUGAUAAAAAAAACUAUGACAUUUGAUAGGGGAACAAAAAUGUACUACUAUUACUAUGUCAUUUUCUAAACUUGUCAUUGCAGAUCAGAUAUAGACAUGUUGAUUAUGCUCAAAUUUAUGGGAUGAUUAUAUUCUUCUUUAGUGGACUGCUCAAUUCUGUCCACUAUAUUCUUUAAGAGUAAAUGAAGUCUCAAUGCGAAAGUUACAAAACUGAUGCUUGGGAUUCAAGCAACAAGAUUGUAAGGCGUAUUCGUGUCAAAGGUGGAAGUCAUAUAUGAGUUGUUAUGAUUGUUCUUUAUUUAUUUUAAUGUUUAUUUGUAGAUAAUUUUUUGUGUAAAUGAUGCGGUUUGUAUAUGAGAGUUUGAUUUUGGACCAUUAAUAAAGAUGUAUUUUUAGAGUUAUGAUAUUGAAUAAAUUUUUGGUUUUUAAAAUU